rnacentral:rRNA from 1 species
UCUGACUNGAGUGCAGAAGGGGAGAGUGGAAUUCCAUGNGUAGCGGUGAAAUGCGUAGAUAUAUGGAGGAACACCAGUGGCGAAAGCGGCUCUCUGGUCUGUCACUGACGCUGAGGCUCGAAAGCGUGGGUAGCGAACAGGAUUAGAUACCCUGGUAGUCCACGCCGUAAACGAUGAGUGCUAGGUGUUAGGCCCUUUCCGGGGCUUAGUGCCGGAGCUAACGCAAUAAGCACUCCGCCUGGGGAGUACGACCGCAAGGUUGAAACUCAAAGGAAUUGACGGGGGCCCGCACAAGCGGUGAAGCAUGUGGUUUAAUUCGAAGCAACGCGAAGAACCUUACCAGGUCUUGACAUCCCGAUGCUAUUCUUAGAGAUAGGAAGUUACUUCGGUACAUCGGAGACAGGUGGUGCAUGGUUGUCGUCAGCUCGUGUCGUGAGAUGUUGGGUNNNNNNNNNNCAACGAGCGCAACCCUUAUUGUUAGUUGCCAUCAUUAAGUUGGGCACUCUAGCGAGACUGCCGGUAAUAAACCGGAGGAAGGUGGGGAUGACGUCAAAUCAUCAUGCCCCUUAUGACCUGGGCUACACACGUGCUACAAUGGUCGGUACAACGAGUUGCGAGCCGGUGACGGCAAGCUAAUCUCUGAAAGCCGAUCUCAGUUCGGAUUGGAGGCUGCAACUCGCCUCCAUGAAGUCGGAAUCGCUAGUAAUCGCGGAUCAGCACGCCGCGGUGAAUACGUUCCCGGGCCU